AUUGAACGCUGGCGGCAGGCCUAACACAUGCAAGUCGAACGAGUGGCGGACGGGUGAGUAAUGUCUGGGAAACUGCCCGAUGGAGGGGGAUAACUACUGGAGACGGUAGCUAAUACCGCAUACCAUCGGAUGUGCCCCGAGGGGAUUAGCUUGUAGGUGAGGUAACGGCUCACCUAGGCGACGAUCCCUAGCUGGUCUGAGAGGAUGACCAGCCACACUGGGAAGUAGAGACGGUCGAGCGUACUACUGGAGGCAGCAGUGGGGAAUAUUGCACAAUGGGUGCAAGCCUGAUGCAGCCAUGCCGCGGGGAGGAAGAAGGCCUUCUGGUUGUAAAGUACUUUCAGCGGGGAGGCGUUACCCGCAGAAGAAGCACCGGCUAACUCCGUGCCAGCAGCCGCGGUAAUUC
rnacentral:rRNA from 1 species